GAGGAUCAGUGUCAUUCUAACCGCACAUUCCUUCAUCCAAAGGUCGAAAACCUAAUAGCAAGUGGUUGGUACUAUUAAUAACAUAGUAGACUAUAUAUAUAUAUAUAUAUAUAUAUAUAUAUAUAUAGAGAGAGAGAGAGAGAGAGAGAGAGAGAGAGAGAGAGAGCAGGGCUGCUCUGCUCUCAGGGGCAUGGAGGCCUCCGUGCUCCUGAGCCGUUUUCGAUGAUGAAAUUUUCGACUCGACGAUCAGCUCCGUUAGACUUGAUCUAGGGUAUUUGAAGUUUCUAGCAAAUAAUUUUUGCGAUUUUUUGAUAUUAUUUACCUAGUGAUCGAAAGAAUUCAAAAUCAAUAAUUUUUUUAAUGGUUGAUAUUUGCCGUUCUCAAGUUUAACGGUGUAGAAGUAUUCAAAUCAGAUGAAAUUUUGAUACAAAAUUCUUUAUACUAUCUACAACAAGAUCAAUAUUUCUGAUCAAAAAUUUUAGUGCUAUAUCACCACUUUUUAUAGAAUUUUUAUUUUCAGCCGUUAAAAAUUAUUGAUUUUGAAUCCUUUCGAUUGUUAGGUAAAUGAUAUCGAAAAAUCGUAAAAAUUAUUUUAUAGAAACUUCAAAUACGCUAAAUCAAGUCUAACGAGCCGAUUGUCGAUUCGAAAAUUCUAUCAUUGAAAACGGCUAAGGAGCACGGAGGCCUUCGUGCUCCUGAGAGCACAGCAGUCUUGCUAUAUAUAUAUAUAUAUAUAUAUAGAGAGAGAGAGAGAGAGAGAGAGAGAGAGAGAGAGAGAGAGAGAGUCCAGUUAUGGUGCUUGUAAAAGUACCAAGCAUUUGGUGCUUGUAAGUUUUUUACCGUUAGAUCUACUCCUCGGAUCAUUUCCAACCAUUAGAUUAUACUAUUCAACCAACCACCCACUCAACCCUAGGGGGCCCAUAUCAUCCUAACCGCAUAUCUCUUAAUCCAAUGGCUAAAAAUCUACAAGCACCAAUAACUUGGUACUUUUAAAAGCAUAGAAGCUCAAUUAUAUAUAUAUA
rnacentral:lncRNA from 1 species